CUCUCUCUCUCUCUCUCUCUCUCUCUCUCACUCUCUUUCUCUUUUUGGUGAUCGACAAUAGAGAUAAUGACUUCUUUCCCUACUUCUUCUCUCCUUUCUCGCUUUGUCUCUUUGAAUUACUUGAGCUGAUCCUUUGUGAUCUGGGUUUUUUCAGUUGAUCCAUUGUGAUUUUUCGCUUCGGGUGAGAGGAAGAGUUCAGAUCUCUGUAUCGCAGAGUUCUUGCUGACGAGCUCAUGGAAUCUGGAAGGGGUUUUCUCUGAUUGAGUCCCAACAUCUCACUCAUUGGGGAACUGUCUCAUCUACUUUCAUUGGUGCUUUUAUGUAUCUCUGAGCAAGCAAAUUUCAAUAUUCCAUUUACUUCCACCAAGAUGCUAUCAUUAUCACCUUGGCAGCCUUCAUAAGUGCACCAAGAAAGAGAUGGUGCCAUAGAUCUUAUUUCAACUUACAAGAUGCUUUAAGUAUAAACUACUGGAAGCCAUUUCCCCUUGUCAUUCAAUUCCAGUAAAGAUUGAUCUUAUUGCAUCAUAUCAUGUGUGGCACUGCCAUUUGGUCGUUGUAUGGACAAGAAUUUACAGAUAAUGGUCCGAUGGCAAUUGAUACUGGAAGGCGCCAUAUGAAGCUUCAAUGAUGUUAUUGCAUGCCAUAUUCGUUGCACACACAGAAGAAGGCCUAGCUGAAGAAGUUAAUUUGAGAAAUAACUGCUAGACUUUAAGGUAACUUCUUAUCAUCUGAGAUUUAGACUUCUGAUAACAACAAUUAAGACCUUGUGAUAUUUGAUUCUUUUGUUAGUUCCACCUAAAGGAUGGGCCAUACUAUGUGCCCAAUUGUGGCUUUCAUUAGGCUGGGGUGCCUGUCAUGUUUUGUGAUUGAGAUAGCAAAUAACAUCACAAAACAGAUAACUGAGAUGCUUAGAUCCUUUUUUUUCUUGCAUCAUUUAAUGAUGUGCUACUUUAUCUAUUUUUAUAUGGUACUAAUGAUCCUAAUCCAACCUUAAGCUUGAAAUUUAUAUGGUCCCAUUUAUUUAAUAUGGUAUAAUACUCUGAAUGCAUGGUGUAGGAGCUCAUUGCUUGUUAGUAGACAAUUACAAGGUAAGAUGAUUUGCUGAUUGAUGUUGCUAAUUAAUUAGGAGGUCAAAUCUUGGUCCUAUAUUUUUCUUCUAUCUAGUGGACAAUUACAAGGUAUUGUUUCACAAUUAGUGCAUCAAGAAAUUUCAUUUGCACUUGUAUGCUAUUGGGAUUUAUUUGUUUAAUUCAGCAAGACAUGUCGACUCCCAAUUUUCAUUUUCAACUGAUAGUUGUUUGUCUGAGUUCAGAAUCUGGUGAACUGAUUACUGAACUCGAUUAUGUCUGUCAUCUACCAAUAAUACUGUUUAGUAUGCUUAUUUUCCUGCUUUGUUUCUGGCUUUUGUGUUUUAGCCUGAUGUGCAUCUCUCCCCAGCUUUGAGCCUCUGGUUUUUGGUUGGCCAGCCAGUCCCUCCCAAGAUGCCAAUGAACAUCUCUCUCUCUCUCUUUCUCUCUCUCUUUAACAUGAUAGGAAUAGCUAAGGCUGGUAUUAUAUCCCCCAUCCAUAUCCCUGCUACCUCAAGAUAUUCAGCAUGUUGAUCAUCAUAUUUGUUAGAAAAAUCUAGUGCCACAUCAUUAUAAGACCAAUGCACACCACACAAAUCAUCCAAAGUGAUACACACAAGCCCACGGCCGUUGUUUAGACUGUGAUCCAACUCUCUCCUGCUGCACACAUUGCUUGAACAUCCCACCCCCACCGUAAGUGGAUGGGCAUAACCUUGUAUGCUUUAUUGGCAUGCUUUUGUGGUGACCAUGAGAGAAGCCUUUACAUGCCCAGCCAACCAAGCCCUCUCAAAAGAUACGCUUGGUCUUUUUUGCCACAAUUUUAAGCCAGGCAAAAGAUUUCAUGUCUCUCCCUCCCCUUGUUCCACUAAAGCUGUGGUGCUUACUCUGCUGCCUUUUGAUACCCGGAAAGUCAAAUGGGUCAUCCAUUCACAAGCUCGAAAAAGAUUCACCCCCCUCCCUCCUUCCAAUCCCCAUUUUGCAUAUCCCCUACUCAUCCUCUCUUUUCUCUCCACCCCCUCCCUUUUUUUAACUUUUGUUGCUCUCGAAUAUUUUCCCGGCUUAGAUGUGUUAGCCCAAUUAUGCUUAUCCAGCCAUUUCCCAAUGCCUUCUCCUUUCCUAGCCAAUACUUUUUUUCUUCUAUUUUUUUUAUUUUUUUCCAAUAUCAUUUUUUUCUUUUGGUUUGAUUUGAUUUUAUAGAGCACAUACACUUCUACCGUAUUACGUCCUUCCUUUUUAUCACUGUAGAACAAGUUCCUUGCCAACCAUUCACGUUAUAGAGGUUCAAAAGUAGAUUCUAGUUGGUUGAUGGAUUACCAUUUCAUUUAAAUUUCUUACAAACAUUUGCCAGGUCAGGUAGAGAACAAUAAUGAUGAGAGUCACAAGUAUAUGUAUUUCUAAUGUUUCAAUUUAAAAAAAAGGGUAGAAAAAAAAAAUUAUAUGAUGUACUUUCUAAAGUGAGCUUUUGAUCAUUUUUUUUACUACAAAGGCAUCAUCAUGUAUAUGGUGCAAUAAUUGUUAGAAAUUGUCCUUUCCACGAAUCUUGUAGUGUGAAGAAAUUCCUUAAUUGUAGAUUAAAAAAUUAUAUUCUACUCCAACGUAGCUAAAUGUAUCUCGGUCUGAUAGAGAGCUAGACACUGUUGUCCAUAGUACUUGUUUGCUUUUGCUGCAUUGUAAUCAUCGAAGUUGUCAUCCGAUUUUUCUUUUUCUUUUUUUUUUUAAUGUUCACUUUAAUGCUUUAAAAAGUGUUCUCAAUAAUGCUAACUUAUCCGGACUGCAGUUGUGUGGCCCUUCCAAAUUUAUUGUCUCAGAGUACGUGUGGUCUCUCUUCAUGGGAGGAAAGCUUGGUUUGAACUUUGAAUCUGUGUUAGUACACCAUAAAAGCUUGCUUUUCUUCCUUGAUAAAUUAAUAAUAAAAGAGCACAGAGGUUUGUUUUC